rnacentral:rRNA from 1 species
AAUAUCUAAACGGANAGAUUNNAUAUCGCUCGCAAGGGCAAUGUGCACUUCUCUCUUAGUAAGACGCUGUGAUCCAUUAGAAAUUGACCGUUCCCUCGGUUAUUUGGCUAUCAAUAGGCCAGCAUGAAGUUCUCUAAUGCAAACAACUUGAUCUUCAAUGGUCGGGUAUAUUGUUUGGGGAGCAUGUUGUGUCCUGCUUAAUAGCUGUCUGAUGGAUUUUAAAGGCCAUAUCACCGAUGCUCCGGCACCGCUCGCACGCGAGAACAGAUAUGUGCCCGAUCAACAGCGGUUCACUUUGGGAUACCUUUUGGACCCGUCUUGAAACACGGACCAAGGAGUCUAUCUAGUAUGCGAGUAAAUGGGUACGAAUGAAACCUAUUUGCGGAAAAAACUUGACUGUUAUGGGACUACGAGCAGCCUUCGCGGGCUGCUCCUCAAUCCCGGGGUAUUUUUGUCAACAUAUGCAGCAAUGUAUAUGGAAAAUAUACCAUGAGCAUACUGGAUACGACCCGAAAGAUGGUGAACUAUGCCUGAUCAGGUUGAAGUCAGGGGAAACCCUGAUGGAGGACCGAAGCAGUUCUGACGUGCAAAUCGAUUGUCAGAAUUGGGCAUAGGGGCGAAAGACCAAUCGAACCAUCUAGUAGCUGGUUCCUUUCCGA